UGGGGAAUAUUGCACAAUGGGGGAAACCUUGAUGCAGCGACGCCGCGUGAACGAAGAAGGUAUUCGUAUCGUAAAGUUCUGUCCUAUGGGAAGAUAAUGACAGUACCAUAGAAGAAAGCUCCGGCUAAAUACGUGCCAGCAGCCGCGGUAAUACGUAUGGAGCGAGCGUUGUCCGGAAUUAUUGGGCGUAAAGGGUACGCAGGCGGUUUAAUAAGUCGAAUGUUAAAGAUCGGGGCUCAACCCCGCAAAGCAUUGGAAACUGAUAAACUUGAGUAGUGGAGAGGAAAGUGGAAUUCCUAGUGUAGUGGUGAAAUACGUAGAUAUUAGGAGGAAUACCAGUAGCGAAGGCGACUUUCUGGACACAAACUGACGCUGAGGUACGAAAGCGUGGGGGGCAAACAGG
rnacentral:rRNA from 1 species